AGCGAACGCUGGCGGCAGGCUUAACACAUGCAAGUCGAGCGCCCGUAGCAAUACGGGAGCGGCAGACGGGAGAGUAACACGUGGGAACAUGCCCUUCGGUUCGGAAUAAACUCAAGGGAAACUUGAGCUAAUACCGGAUACGUCCGUAAGGAGAAAGAUUUAUCGCCGAAGGAUUGGCCCGCGUCCGAUUAGCUUGUUGGUGAGGUAACGGCUCACCAAGGCGACGAUCGGUAGCNGGUCUGAGAGGAUGAUCAGCCUCACUGGGACUGAGACACGGCCCAGACUCCUACGGGAGGCAGCAGGUGGGGAAUAUUGCGCAAUGGGGACGAAAGCCUGACGCAGCGACGCCGCGU
rnacentral:rRNA from 1 species